CGAGUGACCCUGCGCCGAAAAUGUACCGGGGCUAAAACAUAUUACCGAAGCUGUGGAUGACACAAAAGUGUCAUGGUAGGAGAGCGUUCUAUGUGUGAAGAAGGUGUACCGUGAGGAGCGCUGGAACGCAUAGAAGUGAGAAUGCCGGUAUGAGUAGCGCAAGACAGGUGAGAAUCCUGUCCACCGUAAGACUAAGGUUUCCAGGGGAAGGCUCGUCCGCCCUGGGUUAGUCGGGACCUAAGGAGAGACCGAAAGGUGUAUCCGAUGGACAACAGGUUGAUAUUCCUGUACUAGAGUAUAUAGUGAUGGAGGGACGCAGUAGGCUAACUAAACCAGACGAUUGGAAGUGUCUGGUCAAACAGUGAGGUGUGAUAUGAGUCAAAUGCUUAUAUCUUUAACAUUGAGCUGUGACGAGGAGCGAAGUUUAGUAGCGAAGUUAGUGAUGUCACACUGCCAAGAAAAGCUUCUAGCGAUACAUAUACUCUACCCGUACCGCAAACCGACACAGGUAGUCGAGGCGAGUAGCCUCAGGUGAGCGA
rnacentral:rRNA from 1 species